CCCAAUUUGAAGAGAGAACGGGGCUAUCCCACUUUUUUCCACCGUAGUCCAUCCCAUUUCUGGUAGGAAUGAUCAUUAGUCUCUGGCAACGGUUUCCAGCCAAAUCAAGAUUCAUUUAGAACAGGUGAACUUCAUCGUCUAUUUUUUUCCCCUUAUGUUUCUGUUUUCUCUGAUUCCACGAAUUCUUCAGGGAUUCAUUUAGUUGAUGAAUUUUGCUUGUGGAGUUUGGAGAGAAGAUUAAACCCUCUUUUUAAUCGUUAAUCAGCCUUCACUACCUACAACGCUGAUUGUUAGUAGGCCAUUUUGAUAAUGAACCUGAUUUCGUUUAUUCUGUCUGUUAUUCAGUUCAUUCUAUUAGAUCUGAAGGUUUCUUUUAUUUUUGAACCUUAUCUCAACUAUUUCGCCUAAAACCUUGGUGGGUAUGCAUUAAAAUUCAUUUUUGGCCCCUUGCAUGUCUAGUUUACUUAGUACUAAGCACUGAUUAGUUGGAUAGUUGUUGUUGUUUUUUAUUUUCGUGCAGUGGUUUUCCAAAAAUUGGAAAUUUUCAGUUACAUUGUGUGGAUCGUUCAUGUUUUGUUUUUGUUUUUUGUUUUUAUUGACUUAGAUUAUGGCUUAAUGGAAAUUUCUAUCAAGGUCUGCUUGUAUUUAUACGUUCUAUGCUGUUGAUUAGGAUCUAGUAAAUCUGUUUGGGAUAUUACGGAUGAUCUUUGUAAAGGGCUUUGAGCAGUUUCUCACUUUAUUACGAGGGGAAUAUUGCUUAGGAAGCUAAAUCUGAUACGCCCAAUCUCGUUUGUGUUUCUAGUCAUUUGUUAAUAUUUGAUAUGAUAAUAUUCUUUUUCUCUAUGGGAAUAUAUGCAUCUGAAGAUGUAUCUGUUUGGUAAGUAUGAAGACAUACUAAUUUUGACAGCUUAUCUGUGAUUUUGUUGUUAUUAUCCUUUUUCUGUAAUUUGAAUCUGUUUCUAAUUUCAAGUUGAUAUUCUUUGGAUGAAUUGCAUACCAUUGAAAAAGUAAUUUAUUAGAUUAUAAUUAUUUCCCCUAAGUUCUACAGACUAGUUUGUUUCUCAAUGUUUUAUUAUGCUACAUGUAAAUAGAUUUGAUUUUUUGUAAACAUUUGUAACAACUGUGAUCUGGAAUUUAUUUUGCUUGCUUUAGUGUCUUGAUGAUCGAUCUUAGUGUUUGUCUUUGGUCCCCUGUUCAUCAGAAAAUUGAACCUGCCGAAUGAUGGAAAAACUUAUCUCUAGAGAUGUUAAUUUGAUUCUUAUCACAAGCCUUUGCCGUCAACCACAACUCUCCCUUUCUCUCAACCUCAAUCAAUCUUUCCGUCAUUUCCCUCUCUCUUUUGCCUUUUCUUUUUGGUAAAUCAGCUUUAAGAUUUUAACUUAAAGUGACGAUUUAGAUUAAAUAAUGAUCCACUAUAGUUAUUACUGUAAUUUGAGUUGUUUUUAGGAUGGUUGCUAGAUGAUGUAAAAUCCAUGAACAUUGAAUUUUUAAAGUCCCAAGAAGCUUUGAAAUAGGUUGUUUUUUUAUUCAUUAACUGUUAUUCUGAUAUAAGCUUAUAUGUAUAUAUAUGUAUAUAUAUGUUUUUUCUAAUAACAAAGAAACAUCUUUUCAUCAAAGAAAUAAAAAGAGAUUAAUGUUCAACCAUUCAAAAUUGGAUAAACACAAACAGAAGAAAUACAAGAAGAUUUUGAAAAGAUAUGAAAAACUUGGCUGGAGAAGUACCAAAAUGAAGCCUUUAGCAAACAAACCUUCCAAAGUCUUUGCCUUACUGGCAAUAAUUUUUUGGUUACUAUCCCAUCAGAUUUCUAAAAUGAUACCUUGAACCGCAUUAAUCUCUAAUUACAAAAGCCUUGAAAGGAAUACAAAGACCAAUGAGGAAAUGAAACAUGUUGGGCUUUGAGCUGUUGUGAAAGACCCAAUAAACAUUGAAGAUCCCAAAUAAUUUAUGCUUUCAGAUUCAGAACAACAUGAAGGACAUCUUGAUGGCAGAAGAGAAGAAAAAGUCUUCUUCUGUAAAAUAUCUAAAGAGUUCAAGCCACCAUUUAUCAAAAUCCACAUAAUGAUAUUUAUGCUCUUAGGACAAUUAUACUUCCUUCCAAAUCAAGAACACAGUAAUACAACCUAUAGAACAGAUCCUGUUCAAGUAAGGUUGUGAUAAUUAUACUUCCAUAAAGCCAAGAAGGCCCUUUUGAGAAUUGUGGAAGAAGUUGCCAAAUAUCUUGAGAAGAGAAAUUUUACCGGAAAAGCACCUAGAGAAUCGAGACUCCAAUGCUUUGAAGUAGGACUACUCGAGACCUCAGACUCUUCUAAAACAGAAAGGAGAGCAGAAAGCUCAAUAGUCUCAUUAUCUUUCCAAGUUCUUCUAUAAAGAAUCUGCCAAGAUCAGCAAAUAGAAUCCCAAAUAUCAGCAACUGAACCAUUAGGAGGAAGUGAGAUGAACAAAUUUGGAAAACUGGACUGUAAUGAAAUACUGUCAAUCCAAAUAUCCAACCAGAAAGAGAUUCAUGUUCCAUUUCCGAGAACAAAAUGGGAGAAUUCUGCCACCUUUUUUUUUCCCCAAUUUUUUGAAAUAUUAAAUCAAGGACAUCUAAGACUAAUAUCUCUUUUGCCAUCCGUGUGCUCUUCUUCCACCCCACGUGCAUCACUUUCCUCCAAAGUGCAUCAAAUUCUUCAUUAAAACAUCAUCCCCAUAUUGCUAGCAAGGCCGUAUUUCAAAUUUCAGACCUCCAAUCUCUACUCCUCCAUCAACAAGGGAUUUGGAAUCUGAAUUCCGUCUUAGUAAGUGAUUCAACUUGGCGAAAGUUCUAGAGCUUUCUUUUUCAAGGGAAUACUUGAUGACACGAGUAAGUCUAUCUCCCUUUGAGAGCUGAAAAUGCUUCCAUGUAACAAGCUUCUUCAUAACUUUCUCCAUAAUUGGAUCUCACAAAACACCAUGUUUAGGAUGACCUCCAACUCCAAGUGGAAGACCAAGGUACAAAAAAUAGGUAAGGAUUCUACCUUGCCAUUUCAUCUGACAGCCGCUUAAGAAACCCUGGAAGCAUCAAUGUUAGCUCCAUUUAAGGCUGAUUUCGACCCAUUGAUCUUGAGACCCAAACUUGAUUCCAAGAAUGUCAAAGUAGUGAACACCAAACUAUCCAACAUAAAGGUCAAAUUAUUGAACAAACUAUCGAACAUAAAGAUCGUCAGUUUUGCAAAAAAGAAGAAUGUCGCAAGACAUGAGUUGAAUUAGGCCCCACUUUGAAGCGCUCAAAUAAGCCUUGUAAAAAAAUAUCUUCAAAGAGUAUACUUAAAACAUCACAAACCAUGACAAAUAAGAAUUGAGGAAAUGGAUCGCCUUGUCGCAAACCUCUUGAAGCUUUAACUCUUCCCUUUGGACGCCACUAAUAAGAACAGGAAUUGAGUGACCUUAAUACAACAACCAUUCAUCCACAGGAUCCCCUUCGCCACCUCUUUCUUUCAUGUAAUUCUCCUUUAGACAUUUUUUCAAAAGUUCCAUUGGGGUAGGGCCGGGGAGACAUGAAUUAAUAUGACCAUUAGAAGGGAUUCAAAGAAUAACCGAACAGAAUCAUCUUUCAAUUGAUCCCAAAAAGUUAUUAAAGUCGUAAAUAAAAAAUUAUGUAGAAAACCCAUCCAACCUGGGAGCUUUAUUCUUCCCUAAAUUCUUGACUACUUUCCAAAAUCUUGUUUAGAUGAAAAAGAAUCGAUAAGAAUAUGGAUCAAAACAAGACAAAAGUGAAAGUUCAGGAUCAUGAUAGAUUUUCAAUCUUUAUUUCUUUCUGAAUUAGUCGUGCAUCUGUCCUUCCAUUUUUAAUGUUUUGUUUCUAUUCAUGAUAAAUGUUGUUGCUAUUUAUAGAUAUGAUUAGAUAUGUGACUUCUAUAUUUGGUAUUCAAUUGUUAUCCUGACAAAUUGCAUAUACCACCAUCACAUGAUCUUGUCAUAUUUGGCAUUGGAAAAUUGACUUUUGCUUGAUCCAUCCAUCUACUUUGUUUUUCUUCCUUUUUUGUAAUGAGUGGUUAAAGAUGUGUAGUGGCUUGUAAUGAAAAUCAAAUGUCUAUCUAGCAAUUAUGAGGGGGGUAUGUUUAUGAUGAGAUCUGAGGAGUAGGAAUAUGCUUAAUAUUAUUUUGAGUUCAUUAAAAAGAAAAGCUGGAAUGUGGAUGAUACUAUUAAUCGUUUACUUUAAACUAUGCUGGAACUAAGUUUAUUUGCAUGUUGUUCCCUCCUGCCCAAUGAUGGAAAAACUCAUGCUCUAGACCAUUUGCAUUGAUUUCUAAUACUAGCUUUUGCCUCAACCACAACUCUCUCUUUCUCUCUCUCUCUCUCUCUCUUACUUCCCAAACACAAACAAAUAUAUAUAUAUAUACAUAUAACUAUACAAUUUCCCUUGCCUUUCUUUUCUUUUGUUGUGGUUGGAGAUGAGUAGAGACUAGUAUGUGAAUCAAACAAAAAUGUUGUCAAUGAGGAACUAAACUAUGAGAUCUGAGGGCUAAUCAACACGAAUUUUGAUACUAUUUUCACCUUGAAGUAAUCAAUUUAGCUUUGAUUUUUUUUUUUUUUUAAAGUAGAAUUGGGGUAGGAGAUUUGAACCCUGACGUUAAGUGAGUUGAGUUAUGCUUGCUUUUGCAUAGCUUUGAAUUAGUAUUUGGUUUAAAAUGUAUUGCCUGUUAUAUAUACUGUUACUACUUGUUUGCUUAGUGCUCUCCCGACGAUGGUAAAGCUUCAUAGUGCCCCAUUCGACGAUAGAGCGCACCAACAACCAAACUGGCGAGCAGAUCAUUGGUGACCACAUUGGACAACGGACAACAAACUCGGAGGGAAAACGAACGAUAGUGUGCAACUCAGCUGGACAACAAACGAUGAGUGACUUGACUUAACGUCAGAUGGUAGGACAUAGUUGCAACUCGAGACAACGAACGAUGAGCGACUCAACUUGACAACAGACGAAUAGCGCAAUUUGGACAAUAGUGUACACACGUCGAACAGUUCAACAAUUAGAACGACAAUAGUGAUGAAGAUAGGAGCCCCUUUUAUUUUUUUUUAAAUUAUUUAAGAUUCAGUAAUACACAUAUAUAUAUUAUGAUUUAUGUUGAAAA